rnacentral:rRNA from 1 species
AGGCGUGCGAUACAGGGUGACAGCCCCGUACACAAAAAUGCACAUGCUGUGAGCUCGAUGAGUAGGGCGGGACACGUGGUAUCCUGUCUGAAUAUGGGGGGACCAUCCUCCAAGGCUAAAUACUCCUGACUGACCGAUAGUGAACCAGUACCGUGAGGGAAAGGCGAAAAGAACCCCGGCGAGGGGAGUGAAAAAGAACCUGAAACCGUGUACGUACAAGCAGUGGGAGCACGCUUAGGCGUGUGACUGCGUACCUUUUGUAUAAUGGGUCAGCGACUUAUAUUCUGUAGCAAGGUUAACCGAAUAGGGGAGCCGAAGGGAAACCGAGUCUUAACUGGGCGUUAAGUUGCAGGGUAUAGACCCGAAACCCGGUGAUCUAGCCAUGGGCAGGUUGAAGGUUGGGUAACACUAACUGGAGGACCGAACCGACUAAUGUUGAAAAAUUAGCGGAUGACUUGUGGCUGGGGGUGAAAGGCCAAUCAAACCGGGAGAUAGCUGGUUCUCCCCGAAAGCUAUUUAGGUAGCGCCUCGUGAAUUCAUCUCCGGGGGUAGAGCACUGUUUCGGCAAGGGGGUCAUCCCGACUUACCAACCCGAUGCAAACUGCGAAUACCGGAGAAUGUUAUCACGGGAGACACACGGCGGGUGCUAACGUCCGUCGUGAAGAGGGAAACAACCCAGACCGCCAGCUAAGGUCCCAAAGUCAUGGUUAAGUGGGAAACGAUGUGGGAAGGCCCAGACAGCCAGGAUGUUGGCUUAGAAGCAGCCAUCAUUUAAAGAAAGCGUAAUAGCUCACUGGUCGAGUCGGCCUGCGCGGAAGAUGUAACGGGGCUAAACCAUGCACCGAAGCUGCGGCAGCGACGCUGAUGCGUUGUUGGGUAGGGGAGCGUUCUGUAAGCCUGCGAAGGUGUGCUGUGAGGCAUGCUGGAGGUAUCAGAAGUGCGAAUGCUGACAUAAGUAACGAUAAAGCGGGUGAAAAGCCCGCUCGCCGGAAGACCAAGGGUUCCUGUCCAACGUUAAUCGGGGCAGGGUGAGUCGACCCCUAAGGCGAGGCCGAAAGGCGUAGUCGAUGGGAAACAGGUUAAUAUUCCUGUGCUUGGUGUUACUGCGAAGGGGGGACGGAGAAGGCUAUGUUGGCCGGGCGACGGUUGUCCCGGUUUAAGCGUGUAGGCUGGUU